rnacentral:tRNA from 1 species
GCCCCCGUAGCUCAAUGGAUAGAGUAGCAGACUUCGAAUCUGAAGGUUUCCGAGUUCGACCCUCGGCGGGGGCG